rnacentral:rRNA from 1 species
GACGAACGCUGGCGGCGUGCUUAACACAUGCAAGUCGAACGAUGAAGCUGGAGCUUGCUCCGGUGGAUUAGUGGCGAACGGGUGAGUAACACGUGAGCAAUCUGCCCUUGACUCUGGGAUAACUGCGGGAAACUGUAGCUAAUACCGGAUACGAGGCUCGAAGGCAUCUUCGGGUUUGGAAAGAAUUUCGGUCAAGGAUGAGCUCGCGGCCUAUCAGCUUGUUGGUGAGGUAAUGGCUCACCAAGGCGACGACGGGUAGCCGGCCUGAGAGGGUGACCGGCAACACUGGGACUGAGACACGGCCCAGACUCCUACGGGAGGCAGCAGUGGGGAAUGUUGCACAAUGGGCGAAAGCCUGAUGCAGCAACGCCGCGUGAGGGAUGAAGGCCUUCGGGUUGUAAACCUCUUUUAGCAGGGAAGAAGCGAAAGUGACGGUACCUGCAGAAAAAGCACCGGCUAAAUACGUGCAAGCCGCCGCCGUAA